GUACGGAAGGCAGCAGUCGAGAAUUUUUCACAAUGGGCGCAAGCCUGAUGGAGCGACGCCGCGUGGGGGAUGAAUGGCUUCGGCCCGUAAACCCCUGUCAUUCGCGAUCAACCCUUAUUAUUUAAAAGAUGAUAAGCUGAUAGUAGCGGAAGAGGAAGGGACGGCUAGCUCUGUGCCAGCAGCCGCGGUAAUACAGAGGUCCCAAGCGUUGUUCGGAUUCACUGGGCGUAAAGGGUGCGUAGGUGGUGAGGUAAGUCGGAUGUGAAAGCUCGGAGCUCAACUCCGAAAUGGCAUUAGAAACUACCUUGCUCGAGGGUUGGAGGGGGGACUGGAAUACUUGGUGUAGCAGUGAAAUGCGUAGAUAUCAAGUGGAACACCAGUGGCGAAGGCGAGUCCCUGGACAACUCCUGACACUGAGGCACGAAAGCUAGGGGAGCAAACAGGAUUAGAUACCCCAGUAGUCGG
rnacentral:rRNA from 1 species